rnacentral:rRNA from 1 species
UGGGGAAUAUUGCACAAUGGGCGCAAGCCUGAUGCAGCCAUGCCGCGUGUGUGAAGAAGGCCUUCGGGUUGUAAAGCACUUUCAGCGGGGAGGAAGGCGUUAAGGUUAAUAACCUUGGCGAUUGACGUUACCCGCAGAAGAAGCACCGGCUAACUCCGUGCCAGCAGCCGCGGUAAUACGGAGGGUGCAAGCGUUAAUCGGAAUUACUGGGCGUAAAGCGCACGCAGGCGGUCUGUCAAGUCGGAUGUGAAAUCCCCGGGCUCAACCUAGGAACUGCAUUCGAAACUGGCAGGCUAGAGUCUUGUAGAGGGGGGUAGAAUUCCAGGUGUAGCGGUGAAAUGCGUAGAGAUCUGGAGGAAUACCGGUGGCGAAGGCGGCCCCCUGGACAAAGACUGACGCUCAGGUGCGAAAGCGGGGGGAGCAAACAGG